rnacentral:rRNA from 1 species
UACAGAGGGUGCGAACGUUGCUCGGAAUUACUGGGCGUAAAGCGCGUGUAGGCGGAUGGGUAAGUCAGAUGUGAAAUCCCCGAGCUCAACUCGGGAACUGCAUUUGAAACUGCUCGUCUGGAGUACCGGAGAGGGUGGCGGAAUUCCUGGUGUAGAGGUGAAAUUCGUAGAGAUCAGGAGGAACACCGGUGGCGAAGGCGGCCACCUGGACGGUUACUGACGAUGAGACGCGAAAGCGUGGGGAGCAAACAGG